rnacentral:rRNA from 1 species
UGCAAUCUGCCUUUCACAGAGGGAUAGCCCAGAGAAAUUUGGAUUAAUACCUCAUAGCAUAAUCAAACCGCAUGGUUCGAUUAUUAAAGUCACAACGGUGAAAGAUGAGCAUGCGUCCCAUUAGCUAGUUGGUAAGGUAACGGCUUACCAAGGCAACGAUGGGUAGGGGUCCUGAGAGGGAGAUCC